UUUGAUGGCGACCGGCGCACGGGUGAGUAACACGUAUCCAACCUGCCGAUGACUCGGGGAUAGCCUUUCGAAAGAAAGAUUAAUACCCGAUGGCAUAGUUCUUCCGCAUGGUAGAACUAUUAAAGAAUUUCGGUCAUCGAUGGGAUGCGUUCCAUUAGGUUGUUGGCGGGUAACGGCCCACCAAGCCUUCGAUGGAUAGGGGUUCUGAGAGGAAGGUCCCCCACCAUUGGAACUGAGACACGGUCCAAACUCCUACGGAGGCAGCAUG
rnacentral:rRNA from 1 species